UGCUUCUCUUGAGAGCGGCGGACGGGUGAGUAAUGCCUAGGAAUCUGCCUGGUAGUGGGGGAUAACGUUCGGAAACGGACGCUAAUACCGCAUACGUCCUACGGGAGAAAGCAGGGGACCUUCGGGCCUUGCGCUAUCAGAUGAGCCUAGGUCGGAUUAGCUAGUUGGUGAGGUAAUGGCUCACCAAGGCGACGAUCCGUAACUGGUCUGAGAGGAUGAUCAGUCACACUGGAACUGAGACACGGUCCAGACUCCUACGGGAGGCAGCAGUGGGGAAUAUUGGACAAUGGGCGAAAGCCUGAUCCAGCCAUGCCGCGUGUGUGAAGAAGGUCUUCGGAUUGUAAAGCACUUUAAGUUGGGAGGAAGGGUUGUAGAUUAAUACUCUGCAAUUUUGACGUUACCGACAGAAUAAGCACCGGCUAACUCUGUGCCAGCAGCCGCGGUAAUACAGAGGGUGCAAGCGUUAAUCGGAAUUACUGGGCGUAAAGCGCGCGUAGGUGGUUCGUUAAGUUGGAUGUGAAAGCCCCGGGCUCAACCUGGGAACUGCAUUCAAAACUGACGAGCUAGAGUAUGGUAGAGGGUGGUGGAAUUUCCUGUGUAG
rnacentral:rRNA from 1 species